GAGGACAUAACUCAGUUGGUAGAGUGCUUGCCUACCAUGCACAAAGCCCUAGGUUCAAUUCCCAGUACCACCA
rnacentral:tRNA from 1 species